ACAUGCGACCACAGGAAAUUGAAUAUUGGCCAUCCCGUCAGAUCUAGCCUACACAAGCAGUUUACCGGCGACUCAGUAGUCAGGUGGGUGACCACUGGCGAAUCGUCGCUGUUGCAUGUU
rfam:Setosphaeria turcica Et28A unplaced genomic scaffold SETTTscaffold_17, whole genome shotgun sequence.